rnacentral:miRNA from 1 species
GUGUUUGUGUGUGUGUGUAUGUAUCUAUAUAUAUAUAUAUACAUAUAUAUAUAUAUAUAUAUAUAUAUGUAUAUGUAUAUAUAGAUACAUACACACACACGGCGGGUGUUU